rnacentral:rRNA from 1 species
GAUGAACGCUGGCGGCGUGCUUAACACAUGCAAGUCGAGCGAAGCGGCUGAAUUGAUUCUUCGGAUGAUUUUCAGUUGACUGAGCGGCGGACGGGUGAGUAACGCGUGGGUGACCUGCCCCAUACCGGGGGAUAACAGCUGGAAACGGCUGCUAAUACCGCAUAAGCGCACAGAGCUGCAUGGCUCGGUGUGAAAAACUCCGGUGGUAUGGGAUGGGCCCGCGUCUGAUUAGGCAGUUGGCGGGGUAACGGCCCACCAAACCGACGAUCAGUAGCCGGCCUGAGAGGGCGACCGGCCACAUUGGGACUGAGACACGGCCCAAACUCCUACGGGAGGCAGCAGUGGGGAAUAUUGCACAAUGGGGGAAACCCUGAUGCAGCGACGCCGCGUGAGCGAAGAGGUAUUUCGGUAUGUAAAGCUCUAUCAGCAGGGAAGAUAAUGACGGUACCUGACUAA